GACGAACGCUGGCGGCGUGCUUAACACAUGCAAGUCGAACGGAAAGGCGUCUUUCGGGGGGUCCUCGCGUGGCGAACGGGCGCGUAACACGUGAGUAACCUGCCCUUGACUUUGGGAUAACUUCAGGACACUGAGGCUAAUACCGGACAGGAUCACCUGCCGCGUGGAGGGAGUUGGAAAGUUUCGGCGGUUGGGGUUGGAUUGGCGGAGUAUCGGCUUGCUGGUGGGGUAGUGGCUUACCAAGGUGUUGACGGGUCGCCGGCCUGUGAGGGUGACCGGCCACAUUGGGACUGAGGUGAGGCCCAGACUCCUACGGGAGGCAGCAGUGGGGAAGAUUGCACAAGGGGUGGAAGCCUGAUGCAGCAACGCCGUGUGCGGGAGGACGGCCUUCGGGUUGGAAACCGCCUUCGCGCAUGACGAAGCUUUGUGUGACGGUAGUGGGUAAAGAAGCACCGGCUAACUACGUG
rnacentral:rRNA from 1 species